UUACGUCUUGGGCUACACACGUACUACAAUGGGAUGAACAGAGGGAAGCGAAGUCGCGAGGCAGAGCGGAACCCUAAAAGCAUCUCUCAGUUCGGAUUGCAGGCUGAAACUCGCCUGCAUGAAGUCGGAAUCGCUAGUAAUCGCAGGUCAGCAUACUGCGGUGAAUACGUUCCCGGGCCUUGUACACACCGCCCGUCACACCACGAAAGUCAUUCACACCCGAAGCCGGCUAAGGGCCGAAAGGAACCGACCGUCGAAGGUGGGGGCGAUGAUUGGGGUGAAGUCGUAACAAGGUAGCCGUAUCGGAAGGUGCGGCUGGAUCACCUCCUUUCUAAGGAG
rnacentral:rRNA from 1 species